GACGAGCGCUGGCGGCGUGCCUAAUACAUGCAAGUUGAGCGCUGAAGGUUGGUACUUGUCCCAACUGGGUGAGCAGCGAACGGGUGAGUAACGCGUGGGGAAUCUGCCUUUGAGCGGGGGACAACAUUUGGAAACGAAUGCUAAUACCGCAUAAAAACUUUAAACACAAGUUUUAAGUUUGAAAGAUGCAAUUGCAUCACUCAAAGAUGAUCCCGCGUUGUAUUAGCUAGUUGGUGAGGUAAAGGCUCACCAAGGCGAUGAUACAUAGCCGACCUGAGAGGGUGAUCGGCCACAUUGGGACUGAGACACGGCCCAAACUCCUACGGGAGGCAGCAGUAGGGAAUCUUCGGCAAUGGACGAAAGUCUGACCGAGAAACGCCGCGUGAGUGAAGAAGGUUUUCGGAUCGUAAAACUCUGUUGGUAGAGAAGAACGUUGGUGAGAGUGGAAAGCUCAUCAAGUGACGGUAACUACCCAGAAAGGGACGGCUAACUACGUG
rnacentral:rRNA from 1 species